GGCCUCCCAAUGCUUACCACAGGCUGUGCUCUUUACACUGACUGUAGAGAAAGAGGAGGUACAGUAAAUGCACCCCAUAUACACCUCAGUCCAGGCCCUUUGUUGAUUUUUUUUGUGAAUAGGGGGACAAAA